rnacentral:lncRNA from 1 species
AUGGGCCCUUCUGGUCCAGAAGUGUGCACCUGGUGGGGAGGGGAGGGGCCCUCAAGGCUGGGGGAGAAUAGUCUAGGGGGCAGAGAGCACAGCCAGACCAGGCAGCCCGGGGGCCUCCAUGACGUCUGGCCUUCCUGUCUGCAGAGUCUGCUCCUGGGUUACUUCGUGAGGAAGGACAAGGAUCUGGUUGGAGCUCUGGAGGCCUUGUGGCAGAGUCUGGAGGGCCGUCCCAAAAUGUACUCCACUCUCACGUAUGAGGACAUCAUGCGAAGUUUGCAUGUGGUGGUCUUUGGGGAGUACAUCCAGGCCCUGGCCACCCACCUCAAGAAGCUGGCGCCCAAGAAGUGGGAGGACAUCUUGGUUCAGGUGAACACUGACACCACGAAGUUGCACAACAUCUUCACGAAGCACAGGGACGUUGGCUUGGCCAACCUACAGGAACCCAUCAUGGGGAUCUUCCAGCUCAGAGGGAACAAGGGCAGGGAGACUGUGGAUGACUGGCUGGCGUCCUUCAGGGACAGAUUCCCAGAUUAUUUAAGCACCCAGGCCCAGCCAUGCUGCUCUGUGCUCUUGGAGGAGACCGAGGACAAGGGAAGCUGCUGCUGCUGCUGUUGACCCCAGCUCUGGUAAAGGAUCUGGCGGCAGCUCCCUGACUGCCCUUAAUGGAGGUGGAGGUGAGCUCGAGCUUCAGGAAGCCUCGGGCUGUGGAAGUUGUGUGGCUCCGACACCCACCUAUGGAGAAGGAUCUGGGUGCCCCUGGCCACCAGGUGGCCACUUCAUAAAUGGUGGCCUGACAUCCAGGAGGAACCCAAUCCUUCUCAGUUCUGGACUCGUCUGUCAGAAGGAAUACCCUGACCCCAGCCACCAAGCAAUAAGGCAGGCCAGGCCUUGUGGGAGGCCACAUGCUCAUGUUCUAGCCAGAAACCCUACUGAGGACCCAGCCAAAAGCUGGCAUGAACCCCAGAAGAACCUCAAGAUUCCUGCAGCCCCAACCACUGUCUGAUGUAGCAUCAGAAUUAAAGGCGAACAUAGCCUAUUGGUGAUUGGUGACUGAACAGUUGGACCCUCGCCUGGUGUGGAAGUUCCCACAGUUGGUAUCAAAAGAGUUGUGAGCAGAGGGACAGUUUUGCUGGAGUCACCUUGGUCACCCACGCCUCCCCAUGGAGGUGGGGGGACACUUGCUUGCUGCCACCCCCAAACUGCAUGAAAAUGCUUCAAUGAACAGGCCUCUGCCUAAUCUGAGUCAGAAGCUGUCAAGUCGUUUCUCCUUUUCCUUCCCUUUGUCCUCCUUCACGUUAUUCUCUUUUCUGGAAAAUGAAAGAGUAGUUCCUGUACAUCAGUAUUUAAGAGAGGCUGCGACCCAGACCUUGCUUCAACGCUGUUUUAGCAGAUUCCCUAGGCUCAGGUACGUAGCACUUUAACAUAGUGUAAUAGAGGCAAUUUGCAUCUGUAUUUCUUUUGUCCUUGGAGAUGUUGAAAAGAAUUUAAGAAACUUAAAUUUCCAGGUCAGGGGCACUUGAGUGGCUUAGUUGGUUAAGAUCUGCCUUCAGCCUCAGGUCAUGAUCUCAGGGUCCUGGGAUUGAGCCCUGUAUCAGGCUCUCUGCUCAGUGGAGAGCCCGCUUCUCCCUCUCCCUGUCCCUCUGUUCUCUCUCUCUGUCUCUCUCAAAUAAAUAAAAUCUUAAAAAAAGAUUUCCAGUUGGAAGAGUCUUUUUUAAAAAAGAUUUUAUUUAUUUAUUCAUGAGAGAGACAGAGAGAGGCAGAGACACAGGCAGAGGGAGCAGCAGGUUCCCCAUGGGGAGCCUGAUAUGGGACUUGAUCCCAGGACCCCAGGAUCACGAUCUGAGCCAAAGGCAGACACUCAACCACUGAGCCACCCAGGUGCCCCCAGAUUUUUUUUUUCAAGGCCUGAUUUUAUUGCACAAUGCUGCCUGUGUGGUCUCUGUCUUUUGGGACUGAUUUGGCCUACAGCCCCGAUCACCACUGGCCCUGACCCCAGUGGGCCUUGUCCACAGGCCACAGCUUGGUCCCUCAUUGCGGUGGACACACUUUUUGGCCUGGAGUCCUUAGAGGGUCUCACAUUCCUCAUGUUUGAAGAAAGAAGUGGCUUGUUCAUUCCGUCCUUCUCUGACUUCCCACAGGUCCAUGUGACCCUCCAUCCCAUGGGUCACCACCUGCUAGAGAGAACAGACAGGCUGCUUCCUUCCUGAGCUGCCAUCCUGGUGGGUCUCAGCCCUUCCUCUCCCUCUCUCACACCUGAGGAACACUCUCUUCUCUGACUCAGGCCCAGGACCAUGUUCCUGGGGUCAUUUCUGACCCAGCAGCGCAGGACCAUGCUGGCAGGGAGCAGGAAGCCCCAGCAUGCCCGGCCGAGGCCUGCGUGCAGCAGAGUCCCAGGGACAGCCGAGGGACCAGCCACAUCUCCCACCCCUUGGGACCCAGGGGAGAGGGCCCUAGGCAUGGGGCUGGGUGGGGAGGGUCACUGAAUGUGGGUUUUCCAUCCCAAUCACGUUAUAUAAGCAAGCAAUUCCACCCCCUCCCCCCAAAAAAAGACAAAAGAAAAAACUCAAGCCGUACGUUUUAUUUCAGACUGUCCUGGACUGAGGCUGGGCAGCAGCAAACACUGAUCGUCUCCCGAGGAAAGUGCCUUCAUUCUGGGCGUCAAAUCGCUCCUACAAGUAGUUUCUGAAGGAAAGGACAAUGAGCUCUGUAUAAAAAUAAGCAAGCACACAAGGGCAGAGGAACCAUGAGUGAGACCCAGUAGGACCUGCAGACAGCAGACAGGCCUGCAAAGACCGGCUCUUGUCACACGGUGUAGCAGACACAUGGCAUAUCAGACACUGAGUGUACCAGACACCGACUGUAUCAGGUACACGGUGUAUCAGACACUGUAUCAGACACUGUAUUAGACACUGACUGUAACAGAUGCACAAGGUAUCAGACAGCGACUGUACUGACCGUACCAGAUACCGACUGUAUCAGGCACAUGGUGUAUCAGACACAUGGCAUAUCAGACACCAACUGUACCAGACACCGACUGUAUCAAACACUGACUGUAUCAGACAUGGAUUGUACCAGACACUGGCUGUAUUAGACACUGACUGUAUCAGACACAGAGUAUCAGACACUGUAUCAGACAGCGACUGUCUCAGACACUGACUGUAUCAGACAAUAACUGCAUUAGAUGGUGACUGUAUCAGACACACAGGGUAUCAGACAGCAACUAUAUCAGACAGUGACUAUAUCAGAUACCGACUGUAUCAGGCACACGGUGUAUCAGGAACAUAGCAUAUCAGACACCAACUGUACCAGACAUAUGGUAUAUCAGACGUUGACUGUAUUAGACACUGAGUGUAUCAGAUAUUGACUGUAUCAGACACCAACUGUACCAGACAGUGACUGUACCCGACACCGACUGUAUCAGACAGCGACAAUAUCUGCCACAGACACUGACUGUACCAGACACAUAGUGUGGAGUGUGGACAGAUUGUGUCUAAAGAAAUAAAACACAAGCUUGAAAAUAUCUAUAGGGGCAGAUGCUGACUCCCUUCAUGGGGGAUUUCUUGUGGCCUUAGAGAGGAUCCUUUGGGACCCUUUGGGGAACAGGGUCACGAAAAAAACUCCAUUCUAACACUUUCCCUUCCCUGAGCCUCCUGUAUGAUGUCAGGCCAGUUCCUGCCUCUCCACCUCGUUCACAGCAGGCCACUGAUGCAGCCAAGCUUCCAGAAAUGCAUUAGGACCCAUCUCGGGUGGCCUUGCCUGGACACCAGUCACCUGUCACAUGAGGAUGCUCCUGCAGCAAUGAAUGCCCCUUACCCUCUGACGUUCCGUCCCUGCCCAGCUGGCUUCCCCUGGUCCCUGCGGGCGCACCGAUAAGCUGGUCCCCUCGGAGUAGACAUGGUUCGUCUCUGCUCGGGUGUGCAUGGUCCUGACCUUGGUUGUUGGUCUGCCGGCCCGAGGGUUGGUGGGGGGACCGUUCUGGAGAGAUCGGGUGUGAUGUCCUGAGACAGACCCAGAGGUGGGGGGCAGACUUUCACCCCCAAAUCCUCAACAAGUAGGCAAGGAGGGUCAGUUGGCAAGCAGCCUAGUUUCCCUGGAACAUUCCACAUGCUGAUUCCGAGGGCUCCCGGUGGGACGAGCCUUAGUUGCCAACAUGAGAACCCACUUACCAGUGCACUUUGAAUGGGUGCUGGAAGUCGCACUAGGAUCUGAUCUUAAGGGUAGCAGUGCUGAAAAUGUUACGUCUUUUACAUCAAAGAUGGGGCGCUGACAGGAACAGAGCGACCUUCAGACACAGAUGAGGAUGUUUGGAAGGAUGAGCCUGAGAAUCUUCGACACCCCUUCCCUGUGAGCCCUGUGAGCCUGCAGGAGCGAGGCUCCCCCUUUCCAGAGGGUCUACAGAGCCUUAGGCUGAGGCAGGGGCCUAGCAACAUGUCGCUGCUGUCUCUUUGGGCCUGUCCCUACCAGGCCUCAUUGCAUCCCAGCUGAUAAACAGGGUCGGCAUUGAAAAUAGCCCAGCAAGGAAAUACAGUCUCUGCUCUGGGGAGGUGGGGUGCGGUGGGGGUUGCUUCUUCACCGAAGCCCUGAGGCACCUGGUUGAGAUCUGCUGCCUGGUUGCAGAAGGCGCCAGUGGAUGCAGCUUCAAACCGGCUGGGGAGGGGGUGGAGGGUGACAAGGUGCGUAGAAAUGAGGGGAGCAGGGAUUGGUUUCGUUCUCUCUGUGGCUUGGUUUUCCUUCCUGUAUUUUGAAGCUCUUACAGAUGCAUAAACAGGUUUGUUUGGUUCUCUUGCUGAAUUGAUCCCUUUACUCUUUUUUUCUCUGGUACUAAUCCUUUCUCUGGGGGCUCCCGGGUGCUGCAGUGGGUUAAGUGUCCGACUCUUGGUUUUGGCUCAGCGUCAUGAGAUUGAGCCCUGCAUGGCACUGGGCUCCGUGCUCAGCUGGGAGACUGCUUGUAAUACCUUCCCCUUCCACUCCUCCCCCGACCCUCCUGCUCGCUCUCUAAAAUAAAUAAAUAAAUAAAUAGAAUCUUUAAAAAAA